GACGAACGCUGGCGGCGUGCUUAACACAUGCAAGUCGAACGAAGUGGCGAACGGGUGAGUAACGCGUAAUCAACCUGCCCUUCAGAGGGGAACAACAGUUGGAACCGACUGCUAAUACCCAAUACUGAUGGAGGGGAUUGCGUGUGAUUAGCUAGUUGGAGGGGUAACGGCCCACCAAGGCGAGGAUCAGCAGCCGGUCGUGAAGGAAUGACGGGCCACACGGGAACGAGACAACGCCCAGGAUCCCUCGGGAGGCAGCCGGGGGGAAACUUCCGCAAUUGACGAAAGUCUGAAUGCGCAACGCCGGGGGAGGGAUAGAGGCCUUCGGGUUGUAAAGCUCUGUUAAUCGGGGCGCGGUACCCGAAUAGAAAGCAACGGCUAACUACGUGCCAGCCGCCGCGGUAAUUC
rnacentral:rRNA from 1 species